rnacentral:rRNA from 1 species
GGGACCCCGAGUGCGAGGGCAUACAGUCCUCGCUUUUCUGGACCGUAAGGAGGUCCAGGAAUAAGAGCUGGGCAAGACCGGUGCCAGCCGCCGCGGUAAUACCGGCAGCUCGAGUGAUGACCGCUGUUAUUGGGCCUAAAGCGUCCGUAGCCGGCCGAACAAGUCCGUCGGGAAAUCCAUCGGCUUAACCGAUGGGCGUCCGGCGGAUACUGUUCGGCUUGGGGCCGGAAGAUCCGAGGGGUACGUCCGGGGUAGGAGUGGAAUCCCGUAAUCCUGGACGGACCGCCGAUGGCGAAAGCACCUCGGGAAGACGGAUCCGACGGUGAGGGACGAAAGCUGGGGUCUCGAACCGGAUUAGAUACCCGGGUAGUCCCAGCCGUAAACGAUGCCUGCUAGGUGUGGCACUGGCUACGAGCCAGUGCUGUGCCGUAGGGAAGCCGAGAAGCAGGCCGCCUGGGAAGUACGUCCGCAAGGAUGAAACUUAAAGGAAUUGGCGGGGGAGCAC